GACGAACGCUGGCGGCGUGCUUAACACAUGCAAGUCGAACGGAAACGCCCUGCCUUGGUGGGGUGCUCGAGUGGCGAACGGGUGAGUAACACGUGAGUAACCUGCCCUUGGCGUUGGGAUAACUUCAGGAAACUUGGGCUAACACCGGAUAUGAGCUCCUGCUGCAUGGAGGGGGUUGGAAAGUUUCGGCGGUGGGGGCUGGACUCGCGGCUUAUCAGCUUGUUGGUGGGGUAGUGGCUUACCAAGGCUUUGACGGGUAGCCGGCCUGAGAGGGUGGACAGCGCCAUUGGGCCUGAGAGACGGCCCAGACUCCUACGGGAGACAGCAGUGGGAAGUAUUGCCCAGUCGUCGGGCGCCUAAUGUGAAAACCCCGCGUGCGGAAUCACGGCCUUCGGGUUGUAAAACGCUUUCGCCUGUGACGAGGCGUGAAUGACGGUACUGUGUAAAGAAGCACCGGCUAACUACGUG
rnacentral:rRNA from 1 species